rnacentral:rRNA from 2 species
GAUGAACGCUAGUUACAGGCUUAACACAUGCAAGUCGAGGGGCAGCAUGGAAGAAGCUUGCUUCUUCUGAUGGCGACCGGCGCACGGGUGCGUAACGCGUAUCAAACCUGCCUCAUACUCGGGGAUAGCCUUGCGAAAGUAAGAUUAAUACCCGAUGUUGUUAUGUUACCGCAUGGUGACAUAACCAAAGAUUUAUCGGUAUGAGAUGGUGAUGCGUCCGAUUAGGUAGUAGGCGGGGUAACGGCCCACCUAGCCUUCGAUCGGUAGGGGUUCUGAGAGGAAGGUCCCCCACACUGGAACUGAGACACGGUCCAGACUCCUACGGGAGGCAGCAGUGAGGAAUAUUGGUCAAUGGACGAAAGUCUGAACCAGCCAAGUAGCGUGCAGGAUGACGGCCCUCUGGGUUGUAAACUGCUUUUAGUUGGGAAUAAAAAAGAGGACGUGUCCUCUAUUGUAUGACCUCAGAAAAAGACCG